GAUGAACGCUGGCGGCGUGCCUAAUACAUGCAAGUCGAGCGAACAGACGAGGAGCUUGCUCCUCUGACGUUAGCGGCGGACGGGUGAGUAACACGUGGAUAACCUACCUAUAAGACUGGGAUAACUUCGGGAAACCGGAGCUAAUACCGGAUAAUAUAUUGAACCGCAUGGUUCAAUAGUGAAAGACGGUUUUGCUGUCACUUAUAGAUGGAUCCGCGCCGCAUUAGCUAGUUGGUAAGGUAACGGCUUACCAAGGCAACGAUGCGUAGCCGACCUGAGAGGGUGAUCGGCCACACUGGAACUGAGACACGGUCCAGACGCCUACGGGAGGCAGCAGUAGGGAAUCUUCCGCAAUGGGCGAAAGCCUGACGGAGCAACGCCGCGUGAGUGAUGAAGGUCUUCGGAUCGUAAACUCUGUUAUUAGGGAAGAACAAAUGUGUAAGUAACUAUGCACGUCUUGACGGUACCUAAUCAGAAAGCCACGGCUAACUACGUG
rnacentral:rRNA from 1 species